UAGGUGUACCGUGCGCUAGAAGAUUACUGGCCCUGUCCACGAUGGACACUCACUCACUCGCAACCGUCCGUCGGGGAAUCCGUGUACGCACAUUGUGUGUUGUCAGUAUAGGCCGGGAUUUUAGAGCGUUUGCAUUGCACCGUGCACCGGUCGUGCAAGCCGUCCUGUUCGCCUCAGGUCACUCAGCUCUUGAUUGCCGUGCCGUGCGCGCGUGUGUGUGUGUGAUAAGAAUUCGUGUGUGUGAGAGAAAGAGGAAGAGCGUUGUUUAGGUUUUUCGUGAGUGAACCAACAAGUGCGUGUGAGGUUGAUUUUUCUUCCGUUGAGUGUGAUCAAGUGUGCGACUGGCUGCAUUCGAUGGUGUGGCGACGGUGGGCAUUCGUUUGAUCGUGUGCUUUGUACGGCUGUGGCGUGAAACACACACACACAUCGAGUCAUGCAGCUCGUGAAUCGUGGCCAUCGCAGCAGCAGUACGGUCAGUGCCGACGGGCACCAGUUGCCAUCAACGACCGCGACGGACAUUGCACUGAUGCGAUGGUCUUCGCGCGGAUUCACGGCCAUCCCGGUUGAGCCGGACGAUGCCGCAUCCACCGGCGGCAGCAGCAGCAGCAGCAACAGCUCCUCCUCAACCGUGGGCUCCCUCGUGGCCACCUCCCACAAUGGGUCGGCUUCGGCUGGCGGUCCCUCGGCUGCCGGCGGUGGUUGUGGGGAAGCGCGAACCAUACAGUACCUGACCCUCGAUCACGCGGCGGCAGCUGGACAGUGUGGGAGCGGCAUGGGAGAUGCCGCCAACCGCUUGCGACGAGCCGCGCCCCAGCACAAAGGGCCGUGGCGUACGAAACAGCAGCGACACGGGAAGGGGACGUCAUCUUCGGCCUCCGCCUCGAUACAACCGUCGGUCGCGUCGUCCUCCUCCUGCCUGCGCGACUGUCUGCUGUGCCGAUGCUGUCGAAGUGCGAACAUGGACGAGCCGAAGGAAGUCAGCGAUCCGGAGGAGGGCAACUAUGAGUACUGUGAGCUGGAGGAGAUCGUGUCCCCGCCGAAGUACCGGCCAGAAUCGAUAGCGGCCCUGUGCGAGGCGACUCGUUUCACCGAGGCAGAAAUCAAGCGAAUCUACCGCGGCUUCAAGGCGGAGUGUCCGGCCGGCAUCAUACGGGAGGAAACGUUCAAGUUCAUCUACUCACAGUUCUUCCCACAAGGAGCCAAUACAGGAUUAUAUGCACACUACGUGUUCAAUACUUUAGACAAGGAGCAUACAGGUAUUCUUAGCUUCGAGAACUUUGUCCAGGGCCUGUCGAUACUGUCGCGGGGCACGCUGGAGGAGAAACUGUGCUGGACCUUCUCCCUGUACGACAUCAAUCACGAUGGCAAGAUAACGCGCGAAGAAAUGACGGACAUCGUGACGGCCAUCUACGAGCUGAUGGGUGCCCGGGACGACGGUGGAACGGAUGAGGUUAACAUUAAGAACAAGGUGGACACCAUUUUCCAGAAGAUGGACACCAACCGGGACGGUGUGAUAACGAUCGAAGAGUUCCUCGACUGCUGCCGCAAGGAUCAGCUUAUCUCGAGCUCGAUGGGUGUGUUCGACUCGACCAUAUGACCGCUGGAAAGACUGUACACGCUGCCGGGCGGCUACGGGUUCGUGCCGGGCAUCAGCGAAGUGGACGCGGACGAGCUGCCGGGCAGUCAGGAAGGACCGAAGGACGACGGAAGCAACGAAAACUCGAACGAGAGCAGUCUACAAACGGCAAUACUGAAAUCCGACACAUCGAACGGACCACCAACGACAACCGCGGAAAGCACUGCGAAACGAACGGAGCAGGCCACAACCACCACCAUCAGCGGUGGCCAUGAGAGAACGCAAACAACAGCACCGACUGGUGCUGCUGCAGAAGCAUGCUUGAAAGGGCCCACCGGCACUACGAACACGAUCACCAAUGGCGGCACGUCUAAAGGAUACCGGACGUCCCGGACGAGCAAACAGUCGAUGAUACUGGCCAACGGGCGAGCCAAGUCGAACGCAGCCACUGCCGCGCGGCACCAAAACCACGGCGGCUUCCAUCCGACAGCGAACCAUCUUCUGCAUCACCAUCAUUACCACCAUCAUCAUCAUCUGC